rnacentral:rRNA from 1 species
GACGAACGCUGGCGGCGUGCUUAACACAUGCAAGUCGAACGGAAAGGCCCUUCGGGGUUCUCGAGCUCCAGACGGGAGAGUAAGACUAGCGUAAGAUUAACCUGCCCUUGGCUUAAGCAUAGCAUCAGGGGACUAGUGCCGGUUACGACACAGAUUCGCUUGGGCUUUGUGUGGGAUGUAAUUUUUUUGCGGUUGGGGAUGGACUCGCGGCUUAUCAGCUUGUUGGUGGGGUAGUGGCUUACCAAGGCGAUGACGGGUAGCCGGCCUGAGAGGGUGACCGGCCACACUGGGACUGAGACACGGCCCAGACUCCUACGGGAGGCAGCAGUGGGGAAUAUUGCACAAUGGGCGGAAGCCUGAUGCAGCGACGCCGCGUGAGGGAUGACGGCCUUCGGGUUGUAAACCUCUUUCAGCAGUGACGAAGCGUAAGUGACGGUACUUGCAGAAGAAGCGCCGGCCAACUACGUG